AACCUACGGGGCGCAGCAGUAGGGAAUCUUCCACAAUGGACGAAAGUCUGAUGGAGCAACGCCGCGUGAGUGAAGAAGGGUUUCGGCUCGUAAAGUUCUGUUGAAGGGGAAAAAGAGCGGAGAGAGGAAAUGGUCUCCGAUUGAUAUUACCCUUCGAGGAAGUCACGGCUAACUACGUGCCAGCAGCCGCGGUAAUACGUAGGUGGCGAGCGUUAUCCGGAAUUACUGGGUGUAAAGGGAGAGUAGGCGGCAAGGUAAGCGAUAUGUGAAAGCCUUAGGCUUAACCAAAGGAUUGCAUAACGAAA
rnacentral:rRNA from 1 species